AGGAAGAAGAGCAGCAGGCUGAGGUCUCCGUCAGACCUGCCGACGUGGACACACAAGUGGAAGGGGACUCGGUUGAAGAUCGCAUUCUUCGCGAUUACAGACAUGCAGCAGAGUGGGUUAAGGCCAACAAACAACUGUUCUCUGCCAAAGUGGACCUGCCUGAUGUUCUGUACAUGGGGGAGGAGAACCAGGCUGAGGCUGCUCUGCAGUAUGGGAGGGUGUGGAAAGAUCAAGUGGAUGACUAUGAAAAGAUCAAUGAUCAAUCCUGGAGCCCUUCAAAUUCACAUUUUACACACAGAGGAUGUGGAAAUUCUGUGAGGAAAUGAUGGACAAGAGAAAUAAUUUGGCCUAUUGUGAAUGUCACACAGAUGAGUGAGUUUGUGUUCGAGAAUAAAUGGCUACAGAACAUUUGA